rnacentral:rRNA from 1 species
GACGAACGCGGCGGCGUGCUUAACACAUGCAAGUCGAACGGAGCGAAUGAAAGCUUGCUUUUAUGAGCUUAGUGGCAAACGGGUGAGUAACACGUAGACAACCUGCCGACAGGAUGGGGACAACAUUCCGAAAGGAAUGCUAAUACCGAAUGAAGCGGAGGAGAGGCAUCUCUCCUCCGUGAAAGAUGGCCUCUGAAUAUGCUAUCACCUGUCGAUGGGUCUGCGUCUGAUUAGCUGGUUGGUGAGGUAACGGCUCACCAAGGCGACGAUCAGUAGCCGGUCUGAGAGGAUGAACGGCCACAUUGGGACUGAGACACGGCCCAGACUCCUACGGGAGGCAGCAGUGGGGAAUCUUCCGCAAUGGGCGCAAGCCUGACGGAGCAACGCCGCGUGAGUGAAGAAGGUCUUCGGAUCGUAAAGCUCUGUUGAUGGGGACGAACGUGCGAGAGGUGAAUAAUCUCU